AGUAAAUUCACUCUCAAUCUGAGCAAACCACAGCUUAGGUUGUUUAUGCCAAAAGAUUGGAAGUUUCAAAAGGCGAAAUUCAUUUGAAUGGAUCUGAGUGGACUCACCCGAUGACUGAUGUUCAAAACCAGAAGAUAAAUUUAAAAUCUCUGUUCCGACCUGUUCUUGCAUUUUAUUAAACUGAUGCUUCCAGAGAAGAACCAAGACGAUCCAGAAAUCAAAAUUCGAAGAUUCUUGUAGACACCAAAUGGCACUUCG